GGCCUGCUGGCGAAAUGGCAUCGCGUCAGAUUUCGGCUGCCUUCAAGUCACACUCUGAAGAUUGUAGGUUCGAUCCCUACGUAGGUCG
rnacentral:tRNA from 1 species